GGGGGGAAAUUAGUAUAAAAAAAUUUAAUAAAAAUAAUUUUAAAGAAAUAUAAUAAUGGGGGUUAAAGUAUUUUAUAAAGAAAAAAUUAUUAAAUUUAUAGUAAAUUAGUAUUGUAAAAUAAAUUUGAAAUAAAUGAAAAUAAAUUAAUUAAAAAGUAAAUUUUAUUUAUUGUAUCUUGUGUAUCAGAGUUUAUUAAUAAAAAAUUUUAUAAAAAAUAAUUCUCGAAUUUAAAAGAGUUAAUUAAUUAAGAAAUUUAUUGUAGCAAAAAUAUUUUUAAUAAUUAAUUUGAAAUGAAAUGUUAAUCGUUUUUAAAUAUAUCUAGUUUUUUUAGAAAAAAAUUUAAUUUAAAAUUUAUUAAAAAAAAAAAUUAAUUAAUUAAUUUUUUUUUAAAUAAAUUUAAUAUUUUAAGGGAUAAGCUUUAAUUUAAAUUUUUAUAAUAAUAAUAAAUUAAUAUAAAAAUUUUAAAAUUUAUAUUGUUUAAAAAUUAUAAUUUUUUAUAAAUAAUUUUAUGAAAAUUAAAAUUUAAUUUUAUAUUUAAUUUUUUAUAAAGAAAUAAUAUAUAACGAGUUAAUUUUAGUUAUAAUGAUAAAAUUAGUAUAAAAUUUAAUAAUUAAUAUUUUUAAUUUAUAAAAUUAAUUAUAAGGAAUUCGGCAAAAAUUUAUAUUCACUUGUUUAUCAAAAACAUGUCUUUUUGUUAAUAAUUUAAAGUCUAAUCUGCCCACUGAUAUAAAUUAAAGGGCUGCAGUAUUUUGACUGUACAAAGGUAGCAUAAUCAUUAGUCUCUUAAUUGGUGACUUGUAUGAAAGAUUGGAUGAGAUAUAAACUGUCUUAUUUUUAAAUUUAGAAUUUAAUUUUUUAUUAAAAAAGUUAAAAUAUAUUUAAAAGACGAGAAGACCCUAUAGAGUUUUAUUUAUAAUUUAAUUAAAAAUUUUUUUAUUAAAAUUAAAUUUAAAUUAAUUUAUAAAUUUUGUUGGGGUGAUAAAAAAAUUAAAUUAACUUUUUUUUUAAUGAUAUAUAUAUAUAUAUAAAUAACAUUAAUAUGUGAGUAAAUGAUCCAUAAAUUAUGAUUAAAAGAAUAAAUUACCUUAGGGAUAACAGCGUAAUUUUUUUUUUUAGUUCAAAUAAAAAAAAAAGUUUGCGACCUCGAUGUUGGAUUAAGAUAAAAUUUAAAUGCAAAAGUUUAAAAUUUUUGAUCUGUUCGAUCAUUAAAAUCUUACAUGAUCUGAGUUCAAACCGGUGUAAGCCAGGUUGGUUUCUAUCUUUAAAAAAAUAAAAUAUUUUAGUACGAAAGGAUCAAAUAUUUAAAAUAAUUUUAAGUGCGGAAUUUUAUUAAGUUUAAUUUAAAUUUAUAUACUAUUUUGGCAGAUAAGUGUAA
rnacentral:rRNA from 1 species